rnacentral:rRNA from 1 species
UUAGGAAUCUUCCCCAAUGGGCGCAAGCCUGAGGGAGCGACACUGCGUGAAGGAUGAAGGCUUUCGGGUUGUAAACUUCUGAACGAGGGACGAUAGUGACGGUACCUUGGAAAAAGCACCGGCUAACUCCGUGCCAGCAGCCGCGGUAAUACGGAGGGUGCGAGCGUUAUCCGGAAUCACUGGGCGUAAAGGGCGCGUAGGUGGUCUGUUAAGUCCGAUGUUAAAGACCGGGGCUCAACCCCGACACGGCGUUGGAUACUGGCGGGCUAGACGACUGGAGAGGGAAGUGGAAUUACCAGUGUAGCGGUGGAAUGCGUAGAUACUGGUAGGAACACCGAUAGCGAAGGCAGCUUUCUGGACAGUUAGUGACGCUGAGGCGCGAAAGUGUGGGGAGCGAACCGGAUUAGAUACCCGUGUAGUCC